AGAUGGAAGUUUAAAUAUAAAAUAAAAAUACAAGUAAUUUCCAUGUCGUUUAUUGGAAAAAUAAAAUAAAAUCCAUAACUCACCAUUUUGGCUAAAUUGAAUUCCCUGCUUCAUCUUCUUCCUAGAAAGGGCCAAAGCUGGGUGGAAGAUCUUGGCGCGUCAGAGUCUUUGGAGGUGGCCGAUUUGGAUGCUACAAUGAGCCGCUUCAUGCUUUCGUCGGACAAGGAAUCCAAGCCGGAAUUUCCCGAUGCUACUUCUUCAGCUUCAACUUCUGCUUCUGAUUCUCCGGAUGAGAAGGUGAUAUUGGAGGAUGCCAUUAACCAGGUUGAUCAGAUUCUCUGUCAAGCAAUUCAAAAUCCUCGCGAGUGCCUUUUCAUUACCAUUAAAUUUGAGAAAUCAAAUAAGGCAGCCAUUGUUGUAAAGUGUUGAUAGCUUUGAAGAUAAUAUGGUAUGAAAUGGUGUAGUUUUAACUUUUGGAUUUAAUUUUUUUAAAAUUUAAUUAUAAAAUGACAUGGAAAUGAUGUGGAAAAA